AUGGCAGAGGAGCAGCCGGUGCUGCGGCCCGCGUUGGUGUUCCGACAGGCUUGGGAGGAGGAGCGGUACAACCUCUCCCUCCUCAAGCAGCACUGGAUGGUGGUGGGACCAAAUCUAGAGCGAGAUCGUGAGCGAGGAGGUCGUGGUGGCCAUGGCCGCAUAGACAACUUCAUCACGGAGCAGCUGGUGUUGUACGAGGCCAUGCCAGCUGCAAUGCGCUCGCAGCACAGCCGGAUGGGGAGAAAGUUAGCCCACAAGGAAGUUAAAGCACCUCUGGGCCUGCAUCCAGAGGAACGGCUGAAUCGGGAGUUUUUCCAGAUGGCGAGCACCGAAGCCAUUGACUACAAGGCGAUCCUAGGCAGUGGCGAGCACCAAAUUGACCGACGCAUCGGCAUGGCGGUGAGCCCUUACCCUAUCUCUCGAUUUACUUCUUUUGAGUCAUGUCACGGCAACCUUGGAGGUGCCUUGAGUGGCGGGGGGCGUAGCCUUCUUCUUGUCUUCCACCACCGCCUCCACCACAUCAUCUGCAAUCUCAUCAUCAUCGUCUUCAUCAAGAACGAUGGUAUUGCGCAGUCGCCUGCCACCGGCGCCCUGACCACCAUCUCCACCGCAUCGUGGUCGUCCUCUAGCACCAUCAACGUCCUAUGUCUGCCUCCUUGUGCCUGUUUUGAUGAUGCUGAAGUUCGAGCACACUUCCAUGGUAUUCUUGAACUUCGUGCGGUCACCAAGCCAGCACCCAAGGAAGAAGGCCCUCCAUCCAAUGCCCCAGGGGAAGGGGUUGGGAAUGGGGUUCAUGGAGAUGGAGAGGCUGUGAAACAGAGAGGUGGAAGAGGAGAGACGGAGGGGGUCGACACGGAGGUUGUGCUUCCAUUGGACAAGGGCAAGGAGGUUGCCGCCAUUGAACAAGGGCAAGGAGGUCUUGCCACCGUUGGAGGACAACGUGGUGGUGUCGGAGCCCCCAGCGCCAAGCGAAGGAACUACGGGCACUACCAGGAGAGGCAGGGCCAACCCACUUUUAUCAGGAUCGGGUACAUGGUGACCUUCAAGUUGCUGACUCCCAACACCCUGAAGGUGUUCAUCUUCAACAACGACGGAGUGGAGGUGGUCACCAAACAUCCUCGGGCGUUCAUAGCCCCCACCUACGCGCCUGCCCGCCUUGGACUACGCCAUCAUCCACCCAGGGUCCGUCUGUAUCCAGCAACCCUCCGCCCCCUGUCGACGUCGUUCAUGGUGGACACCACACCCGACAGAGUAAGCACGAUGACGAGGUACUCGGUGAUGGAGUAUGAGUUGUUGUGCGAUGCGUGGAAGGUCAUAUAUGCGGACUUUGAAGGCAUGAGGCAAUGGGGCUCAGUGUUUUUACAAAACAAGCGUGCUUCAUUUCUUGAGGAAAAGCACUUCGCGCCCUCCGGCAUGCACGUGAUCCAUGAUCGUAAUGACCGAGAGCAAACCAUUUACAUUCAACAUUAUUGGGUGAAGCUUAAGGGCAACGAUAAACGGAAUACGGAAAAGGGAGCGGCAGAUGGCAACAAACAAAGCAGCCCGCGCCCCCCGCCUCUUAUACACACGCGCCCCCGCCCCCUCCCGGACCAGACGCACCGAGCGCAGGGCACGCACGGGCAGAUCGAGGCAGGCACAGGCGCCGUAGCCGAGACCGGGAACCCCAACGGGCCAAGCACCACCACCAACCCUAGCUAG
rnacentral:rRNA from 1 species